UUUUCUCAGAAUGCAUGUGGCACUUCAUUGUUCUGAAAGUGAUGGACAGUAUUUUCCCCGAUGUUUUUAACAGAAUGAUACAACAUCCCAGGCAUACAGGACAAAUAAACUGGGGUUGCCAGAAACCAGCUGGUGUUACUGGAGAAAGAGUUCAACUAAAUGAACCUUAUUUGGUCCAUUCAUUCUGAAACAAACACAGUAGCAACAUCAGCAGCUGGGUGAGUAUAUGAAUACAAUGGAGAUGAGCCACAGUUAAACAAAACUGGAAAUCCCUUAAUUCAGUUUUGCUAAUACAAACACUUUUCCUCGGUUCACAGAAACCAAAGUAUAAGAGAUAUGAAAUUGGUUUCAAACAGCUUCUGGUCUAGUCAGAUUCCGUUCUAAGAGAAACUUGACUUUUCUUUUACUUUAUAAGUAUUUUAAGACAAUCUAUCCUCUGGCAUACUUAAAUAGGUGGAUGACGACGACAAUAAAUAUAAUUGUCCUUCAAAAAACAAUUCCAAUUUCCUCAAGUGUUACAACAUAGAGUCAGAGGUGUUUUUCAAAUGGAUAUUCCAAAAA